rnacentral:rRNA from 2 species
AGAGUUUGAUCAUGGCUCAGAUUGAACGCUGGCGGCAGGCCUAACACAUGCAAGUCGAACGGUAACAGGAAACAGCUUGCUGUUUCGCUGACGAGUGGCGGACGGGUGAGUAAUGUCUGGGAAACUGCCCGAUGGAGGGGGAUAACUACUGGAAACGGUAGCUAAUACCGCAUAACGUCGCAAGACCAAAGAGGGGGACCUUCGGGCCUCUUGCCAUCGGAUGUGCCCAGAUGGGAUUAGCUUGUUGGUGGGGUAACGGCUCACCAAGGCGACGAUCCCUAGCUGGUCUGAGAGGAUGACCAGCCACACUGGAACUGAGACACGGUCCAGACUCCUACGGGAGGCAGCAGUGGGGAAUAUUGCACAAUGGGCGCAAGCCUGAUGCAGCCAUGCCGCGUGUAUGAAGAAGGCCUUCGGGUUGUAAAGUACUUUCAGCGGGGAGGAAGGGAGUAAAGUUAAUACCUUUGCUCAUUGACGUUACCCGCAGAAGAAGCACCGGCUAACUCCGUGCCAGCAGCCGCGGUAAUACGGAGGGUGCAAGCGUUAAUCGGAAUUACUGGGCGUAAAGCGCACGCAGGCGGUUUGUUAAGUCAGAUGUGAAAUCCCCGGGCUCAACCUGGGAACUGCAUCUGAUACUGGCAAGCUUGAGUCUCGUAGAGGGGGGUAGAAUUCCAGGUGUAGCGGUGAAAUGCGUAGAGAUCUGGAGGAAUACCGGUGGCGAAGGCGGCCCCCUGGACGAAGACUGACGCUCAGGUGCGAAAGCGUGGGGAGCAAACAGGAUUAGAUACCCUGGUAGUCCACGCCGUAAACGAUGUCGACUUGGAGGUUGUGCCCUUGAGGCGUGGCUUCCGGAGCUAACGCGUUAAGUCGACCGCCUGGGGAGUACGGCCGCAAGGUUAAAACUCAAAUGAAUUGACGGGGGCCCGCACAAGCGGUGGAGCAUGUGGUUUAAUUCGAUGCAACGCGAAGAACCUUACCUGGUCUUGACAUCCACAGAACCUUGUAGAGAUACGAGGGUGCCUUCGGGAACUGUGAGACAGGUGCUGCAUGGCUGUCGUCAGCUCGUGUUGUGAAAUGUUGGGUUAAGUCCCGCAACGAGCGCAACCCUUAUCCUUUGUUGCCAGCGGUCCGGCCGGGAACUCAAAGGAGACUGCCAGUGAUAAACUGGAGGAAGGUGGGGAUGACGUCAAGUCAUCAUGGCCCUUACGACCAGGGCUACACACGUGCUACAAUGGCGCAUACAAAGAGAAGCGACCUCGCGAGAGCAAGCGGACCUCAUAAAGUGCGUCGUAGUCCGGAUUGGAGUCUGCAACUCGACUCCAUGAAGUCGGAAUCGCUAGUAAUCGUGGAUCAGAAUGCCACGGUGAAUACGUUCCCGGGCCUUGUACACACCGCCCGUCACACCAUGGGAGUGGGUUGCAAAAGAAGUAGGUAGCUUAACCUUCGGGAGGGCGCUUACCACUUUGUGAUUCAUGACUGGGGUGAAGUCGUAACAAGGUAACCGUAGGGGAACCUGCGGUUGGAUCACCU